rnacentral:lncRNA from 1 species
UCACACCCACAAGAAGGAUCAAGAUAAACACAUAUUACACCACAAUGAAAAUAUGUUUAUAAACAUGCACAUACAUUGAACGCAAGUUGACAAACAAAUUAACCUAGAGGAAGCAUAGUUUUGACCAUCUUAACAAUCAUCGAGAUCACACAAGUUACAAAACGAUAAGGACUAUUGGUUACUAUGAGAGACUUGAGAUGGUCCAGAAAACAUAAGUUUGUAUCUACAUGCACAAAGUGCAAGCUCUGAAACACUCGAAACACCAAAUGGUCUACAAGACAAUAAGGUCCAUGAUUACAGGUUGGU